rnacentral:rRNA from 1 species
CAGUCGAACGAAACUUCUUUAUCACCGAGUGCUUGCACUCACCGAUAAAGAGUUGAGUGGCGAACGGGUGAGUAACACGUGGGCAACCUGCCCAAAAGAGGGGGAUAACACUUGGAAACAGGUGCUAAUACCGCAUAACCAUAGUUACCGCAUGGUAACUAUGUAAAAGGUGGCUAUGCUACCGCUUUUGGAUGGGCCCGCGACGCAUUAGCUAGUUGGUGGGGUAAAGGCUUACCAAGGCAAUGAUGCGCAGCCGAACUGAGAGGUUGAUCGGCCACAUUGGGACUGAGACACGGCCCAAACUCCUACGGGAGGCAGCAGUAGGGAAUCUUCCACAAUGGGCGAAAGCCUGAUGGAGCAACGCCGCGUGGGUGAAGAAGGUCUUCGGAUCGUAAAACCCUGUUGUUAGAGAAGAAAGUGCGUGAGAGUAACUGUUCACGUUUCGACGGUAUCUAACCAGAAAGCCACGGCUAACUACGUGCCAGCAGCCGCGGUAAUACGUAGGUGGCAAGCGUUAUCCGGAUUUAUUGGGCGUAAAGAGAACGCAGGCGGUCUUUUAAGUCUGAUGUGAAAGCCUUCGGCUUAACCGGAGUAGUGCAUUGGAAACUGGGAGACUUGAGUGCAGAAGAGGAGAGUGGAACUCCAUGUGUAGCGGUGAAAUGCGUAGAUAUAUGGAAGAACACCAGUGGCGAAAGCGGCUCUCUGGUCUGUAACUGACGCUGAGGUUCGAAAGCGUGGGUAGCAAACAGGAUUAGAUACCCUGGUAGUCCACGCCGUAAACGAUGAAUGCUAAGUGUUGGAGGGCUUCCGCCCUUCAGUGCUGCAGCUAACGCAAU